GCCGCCGCGGUAAUACGAAGGGGGCUAGCGUUGUUCGGAUUUACUGGGCGUAAAGCGCACGUAGGCGGACUUUUAAGUCAGGGGUGAAAUCCCGGGGCUCAACCCCGGAACUGCCUUUGAUACUGGAAGUCUUGAGUAUGGUAGAGGUGAGUGGAAUUCCGAGUGUAGAGGUGAAAUUCGUAGAUAUUCGGAGGAACACCAGUGGCGAAGGCGGCUCACUGGACCAUUACUGACGCUGAGGUGCGAAAGCGUGGGGAGCAAACAGG
rnacentral:rRNA from 1 species